UUAAUGGUUAAAAGAAACACAGCCAGCAAUCAAAAGUAAUAAAAAAGCAAUUCAAAUCUUCUUACUGUCUUCUCUUUCUCUUAAAGAACAGCCAAGGGAAGAAGGCAUCUGCUUAACAACUAGCAAAAUAGAAUCCUACUCAAAGACUCUCUCAUCCAUUGCCUCAUUUGACUGUCACCAACCAUAUGACGGAGGGGAGGCAAGGAUCACUCCACCUGCUUUAGCGGCAAGCAGGCCAAGCCACAGGGAAUUGAAGAACUGUGCCAGACACCAACGGAGGCCUAGUUCAGUCAGCUAUUCGUUCUAUAUCUGUGCAAUAUCUACAGAAGCAUGGGAAUGGAGAGGAAUCCGCCCUCAAUGGAAGGAAAAUAUUCUAGGGAAGUCUUGGAGAGCCAUAUGGAAUCAGCAUUGUGGUAUCCAGUAGUAACUCUUUAGCAGGUGCUUGUCUUGCUGCCACAGCACAUGCUGUUGACUAGAUGCCCUCAACUGGACCAGGCCUAUCCUCUACAGUGCGUCAGAACAACCUUGCAACAGUUUAAUCUUCAGGAUGCUUUCAUUUGGGCUGAAAAAGGUACCUAGAGUUCGGAUGGUUGAUCCAGAACUGCCUCCUUUGCUCUGGGCCCCACCACCUCCUCUUAGAUUCCCUGGAAACAAAGCCAACUUCCAGGAGGUGGAGGUCAGACAUUGUUAGCCCUGUUGUUUACCCAACUGUACCCAGUAGGAUAUGAUAUCACCCUUCUGGGGAUUGGUGAGCAGAGGGAAAUAAAGACCUAUAAGCAAGAUUCUUCUUCCUUCUAGGGGGCCUUCGUGGCAUGGCAGUGUUGAUCAACACACAGCUUUGUCCCAUAGUCACCAACAGCUCAGCUGCAGUUUCCCAUCUCUGCGUGAAGAGGAACUUGUCCAGACUUGAUGUUAUAUGGGUUAUCUCAGAAUGGGGAUUAAAAGUUCAAAUGUCUGCAGUGGCAAGGCAUUGUGUGAAUGUAUUUUAAUAUAAAAAAUUGAGGUGACAGUGAUAAAAACAGCACAGGACUGAAGAAAAACAGACUUACUGAUCAGUGGAACAGAAUAGAGGAUGCAGAAACAACUCCAGGCACUCUCAACUACUUUAUCUUUGACAAAGAGGCCAAAUACUUUCACUGGAGGAAAGACGGCCUAACACAUAGUGCUGGGAAAACUGUGGUUAUCCACAUGCCAAAGAUUGAACCUAGACCCAUAUCUCUCACCAUAUGCUAAACUAAAAUCAAAAUGGAUCAAAGAUCUAAAUAUUAAAACAGAAACACUUAUUUUGUGGGAGACAAAAUAGGUAAAACUCCUGAAGACAUAGGCAUAGGCCAAGACUGUCUGAACAGAAUCAAGAAAUAAUACCAAGAAUCAACAAAUAGGAUCACAUCAAAUUAAAAAGCUUCUGCACAGCAAAAGAAACCACAAUAAAGAGACAACCUACAGAAUGGGAAAAAAUUUUGCCAGCUACUCCUCAAAGGACUAAUAUUUAGAAUAUAUAAAAAACCAAACCAAACCAAAACAAAACAACUAGACCCCUCAGUUUAAAGACUCAAUCAAACAUGGCCAUCUAAAAUGAAUAGAUACUUCUCAGAUGAAGAGGUAUAAAUGGCCGAUAAAUACAUGAAAAAAUGUUCAACAUUGUUGGCUAUUGGAGAAAUGCAAAUUAAAAGAACACUGAGAUUCUAUCUCAUUCCAGAAAGAAUGGCCAUCUUCAAGAAAUCAAGUAAUAAGAAAUGCUGGCAAGGUUGUUGGGAGAAAUGAACGCUUCUUCAUUGUUGGUGGAAGUGUACUGGUACAACCACUAUGGAAGUCCAUAUGGAGAUUCCUCAGAAAACUGAAAAUAGAAAUUCCAUUUGACUCAGCUCUUCCCCUUC
rnacentral:lncRNA from 1 species